AUGAAAGCUGCACUGGGCUUGUUUAUAUCACUAACAUAUUUACCAGGUGUCCAGUGUUAUGUCCAAAUUAUCCAGUCGUCAGACCCAGUUGUCCCAAAGCCUGGAAACUCACAUAAAACUGUGCUCACAUACUGUCAUGAUUCUAUUAAGGGACUAUUCACAAUCUCCAGAGAUAAUAAUAAGAGCAUGAUAUAUUUGCAAAUGGUCAUCAUGAAAACUGAAGACACUGCUGUGUAUUACUGUGACAGAGACACACACAUUGAUAUAUCUGUGUCAAAAAAAUCAUGA